rnacentral:rRNA from 1 species
UUUUCCUACGGGGGGCAGCAGUGGGGAAUAUUGGGCAAUGGGGGAAACCCUGACCCAGCGACGCCGCGUGAGGGAAGAAGGUUUUCGGAUUGUAAACCUCUGUCCUUGGUGACGAUAAUGACGGUAGCCAAGGAGGAAGCCACGGCUAACUACGUGCCAGCAGCCGCGGUAAUACGUAGGUGGCGAGUGUUGUCCGGAAUUACUGGGUGUAAAGGGAGCGUAGGCGGUAGAGCAAGUCGACUGUGAAAUCUAUGUGCUUAACCCACAGCUGCGCUCG